AUUGAACGCUGGCGGCAGGCCUAACACAUGCAAGUCGAACGAGUGGCGGACGGGUGAGUAAUGUCUGGGGAACUGCCCGAUAGAGGGGGAUAACUACUGGAAACGGUAGCUAAUACCGCAUACUAUCGGAUGUGCCCAUAUGGGAUUAGCUAGUAGGUGGGGUAAAGGCUCACCUAGGCGACGAUCGCUAGCUGGUCUGAGAGGAUGACCAGCAACACUGGAACGGAGACACGGCCCAGACUCCUACGGGAGGCAGCAGUGGGGAAUAUUGCACAAUGGGCGCAAGCCUGAUGCAGCCAUGCCGCGUGUAUGAAGAAGGCCUUAGGGUUGUAAAGUACUUUCAGCGGGGAGGCGUUACCCGCAGAAGAAGCACCGGCUAACUCCGUGCCAGCAGCCGCGGUAAUAC
rnacentral:rRNA from 1 species